rnacentral:rRNA from 1 species
AUGCUGGGUACCCGCGACAGGACGGAAAGACCCCGUGGAGCUUUACUGUAGUUUGAUAUUGAAUGUUUGUGCUGCAUGUGCAGGAUAGGUAGGAGACUUUGAAGUCGGAACGCUAGUUUCGAUUGAGUCACCCUUGAGAUACUACCUCUGUUGUAUGAACGUUCUAACUCUGAUCAGUUAUCCUGAUCGAAGACAGUGUCUGGCAGGCAGUUUGACUGGGGCGGUCGCCUCCUAAAAGAUAACGGAGGCGCUCAAAGGUUUGCUCAGAAUGGUUGGAAAUCAUUCGUAGCGUGUAAAGGCAUAAGCAAGCUUGACUGUGAGACUGACAAGUCGAGCAGGUACGAAAGUAGGACUUAGUGAUCCGGUGGUUCCGUAUGGAAGGGCCAUCGCUCAACGGACAAAAGCUACCCCGGGGAUAACAGGCUCAUCUCCCCCAAGAGUCCACAUCGACGGGGAGGUUUGGCACCUCGAUGUCGGCUCAUCGCAUCCUGGGGCUGUAGUCGGUCCCAAGGGUUGGGCUGUUCGCCCAUUAAAGCGGUACGCGAGCUGGGUUCAGAACGUCGUGAGACAGUUCGGUCCCUAUCCGUCGUGGGCGCAGGAAAUUUGAGUGGAUCUGUCCUU